CCAUCUCAGUUCGGAUUGCAGGCUGCAACUCGCCUGCAUGAAGCUGGAAUUGCUAGUAAUCGCGGAUCAGCAAGCCGCGGUGAAUACGUUCCCGGGCCUUGUACACACCGCCCGUCACACCAUGAGAGUCGGGAACACCCGAAGUCCGUAGUCUAACCGCAAGGGGGCGCGGCCGAAGGUGGGUCCGGUAAUUGGGGUGAAGUCGUAACAAGGUAAC
rnacentral:rRNA from 1 species